AUGGAGUGGGGAAAGAACAGAGAGAGGAGAGAAAGAAAGAACAGAGAGCAGAGGGGCUCGGGCGGCGAUGUAGUGAAGGGGUAUGGCGCCCCGGGGCGGGGCGUCGUGGUACAACCCACAGCGCCCUGGGCCGAGGCAUCAUGGGCCCAAGGCCAAGCCGACGUGGCAGUCAGUGCCGAUGCGCACGGCGUCGUUGACCAAGGCGUUAUGUUAUCUAGCAUGGCGCCCCGGGUGCGGGCGUCAUGCGGUUAG
rnacentral:rRNA from 1 species